rnacentral:tRNA from 1 species
UCAUAAGAUAGUUUAAUUAAAAUUUCUGUUUUGGGGACAGGUGAUGGGAGUUAAAUUCUCUCUCUUUUGAU